rnacentral:rRNA from 1 species
GAUCCUGGCUCAGAGUGAACGCUGGCGGCAGGCCUAAUACAUGCAAGUCGAACGGCAGCACAGCAGAGCUUGCUCUGUGGGUGGCGAGUGGCGGACGGGUGAGGAAUACGUGGGAAUCUGCCCAGUCGUGGGGGAUAACGUAGGGAAACUUACGCUAAUACCGCAUGCGCCCUUCGGGGGAAAGCCGGGGACCUUCGGGCCUGGCGCGAUUGGAUGAGCCCACGUCGGAUUAGCUAGUUGGCGGGGUAAAGGCCCACCAAGGCGACGAUCCGUAGCUGGUCUGAGAGGAUGAUCAGCCACACUGGAACUGAGACACGGUCCAGACUCCUACGGGAGGCAGCAGUAGGGAAUAUUGGACAAUGGGCGCAAGCCUGAUCCAGCCAUGCCGCGUGAGUGAAGAAGGCCCUCGGGUUGUAAAGCUCUUUUGUCCGGAAAGAAAAGCGCCGGGUUAAUACCCUGGUGUCCUGACGGUACCGGAAGAAUAAGCACCGGCUAACUUCGUG